rnacentral:rRNA from 1 species
UAGGGAAUCUUCCGCAAUGGACGAAAGUCUGACGGAGCAACGCCGCGUGAGUGAUGAAGGUUUUCGGAUCGUAAAACUCUGUUGUUAGGGAAGAACAAGUGCGAGAGUAACUGCUCGCACCUUGACGGUACCUAACCAGAAAGCCACGGCUAACUACGUGCCAGCAGCCGCGGUAAUACGUAGGUGGCAAGCGUUGUCCGGAAUUAUUGGGCGUAAAGCGCGCGCAGGCGGUUUCUUAAGUCUGAUGUGAAAGCCCCCGGCUCAACCGGGGAGGGUCAUUGGAAACUGGGAAACUUGAGUGCAGAAGAGGAGAGUGGAAUUCCACGUGUAGCGGUGAAAUGCGUAGAGAUGUGGAGGAACACCAGGUGGCGAAGGCGACUCUCUGGUCUGUAACUGACGCUGAGGCGACGAAAGCGGUGGGGAGCGAACAGGAUUAGACUACCCGUGGUACGUCCACGGA